rnacentral:lncRNA from 1 species
AUGAACCCAAAGCAGACUGUUUCUCCUCCUGCAGCAGUUGGCUGGCGCUGUUCCCUUGGAUGGGACAUGUGUUUUCUGCUCACUGGUCCUCACCAGUCUGCUUCUCUGGAAUGUGACCCUGGGUUUGAGUCACAGGUUGUGGUUGGGAUGAACUAUUUCCUGGAAGUGGAGAUGGGCCGAACCAGAUGCACCAAGUCCAAGCCCAACUUGGAGAGCUGUCCCUUUCAUGUGCACCUAGACCUGCUGAAGGUAUGUGCCCCGUGGGGGCAGCCAAGCAGGGCAGAGAGGUGGGGGUGAGCCUGUGUCUUUGAAGUGCAUCCUGUGUGAGAGCACUGGUGGUAUGGGCGUGCAGGUGCUGGGAUACAAGUGGGAGGGGGCAUAUGUGUACAUGUGACUGAGUUGAGCUAAUAAUGGGAAUUUAGCUUGGAAAAUUGAAGCUCCAAGUGCUUUGGGAAUUUUUGCCUGUGGAACAGAGGAAGCAGCUAUAGGGCUUUGCUAGGGAGAGGGAGAUGGGCCUUUCAUCCCAGUCUCAGCUGCCUGAAAAGACUGGAGGAAAUUAGAGACCUGUAUGGAGUAGAAACCCUCUGACGCUGCCCUGUUCAGCAAAUACUGUCUACUCCAUGGGCCUGGCUCAUUCUUGGGGAUCUUGGCCAAAGUCCCACUUCUCUUGUCCCCUUGCCCCCAUACCCUCCUCCUUUGUGUGUUUCCUUGCUCUGAAACAGCUCCUGUGCCCUCCCCUAUACACCCGUCCUAGUGUAGGCAGACUGGAGGUCAGGGAACAUCAGAGCAGUGUCCUGUCCCUGGAGGGCUCUGUGGCCUUGCAUGGACAACCCCUAAAAGGGCUGUGGUGGGGCACUGACCAUGUGGAAACUUAUGAGUGUGGACUGGGGACAGGAUGCUAUCUCUGAUAGCAUGCUCUAGCAUGACAGGAUGCUAGAGCCUUGGUGGAGUUACUGAGAGGUCACUGUAGAGCCCUACUUAGCAUUCUGAGGCUCAGCAGGGUAGAGGCUGAGAGUCUCACCACCACCCUUCCUCACCUGCACUUCUGACUUCUCCAGGCUGAGUUUUUUCCUUUUUCACUGUAAUCCUAAUUAUCUGUCUGUCUCUUCUUUCACAGAAAAAGCUCUGCUCUUUCCAGAUACACAUUGUGCCCUGGAUGGGCACGACCUCCUUGGUGAAGUCCAGCUGCCAGGAUACAUAGAAGACUCUGACAAGCCCCUUCUCAUUAUCAUCCCCCCUCCUUAUAAAGCUGCUACACUUUAUAAUGGUGACCCUGCCCAGGGGUCCCCAUCGGUGUGCUAGUCCCAGGCAACAAAGAAAGGUUCUGGGGCUUUUCUGAACAGCUUAGUGGCUCUACGCACUUUCUUUUCAUUACUCUCCAAAUCACCAGAAGCAGUGUACAUGUCCUGCUCUAUGUUAAUCAAUAAAUACUAACAUCAGGCACCUUUUGAGUUGUUCACUGUCUUGGGAAUAUGCACAGAAGAACGGUUUGGGCAAUGCUUUUAAGAGUCCCUAGUCCCAAGGCUCUAGAGAGCAGAGGAGGAACUGAGAGCUGAAAGAACCCUGAUGAGGUCGUGAGGGGAGUGUGCUGCCACUUUUUGGAAUGAUUGAGUAAAGAGAACGCUAGGAACCCAGAUCUUCAGUUGUGGUGCUCCUGAUGAUCACAUAGGAGAGAAAGAGACCUAGGCUGCCCCUCCUGGAGAUUUGUGCUAUAAAAGGAAGUCAGAUGGUGAGCAGACUGCACAGGAGGGAGGGAUGGAUGGAGCCCAUAGACCAGAGCCACCCUGGCAGGGCUAUGCCAGGCACAGAUUUUAGCCAUGUGUGCUUAGCUCAUCACACUCCUGAGGCUGAUUUUCACUGGUAAAAUAUGCAAAAUAAACGGAUUUAGGUCUACCUCUUUCCACAAAAGACGUCAGGCACCUACAGUAGACAAAAACUAAAAGUAUAUGUCUGUUUAUGUAACUAUUAGGGAAAUACCAAUCAGAAUUAAGGUCAGUCAAGGCCACAGUCAGGAGUUACAUUAGAAAGAGUAGAAGCACUCCACGUCACUUUCUCAAGAGUAUGUCCUUGGAGCUGCCUCCAGGAAAUACAAGGGGACCACAUAUCCACAAACAGGGAUAGGGAUAUGGAGCCUUUUGAGUACUCAGGUUCUGGUCACUGGUUAAUCCAUGGUCUUUCCUUUUUUGAUGACAUGUCCCAACACUCCACCCUCAUGGACCACUCUUAAAAUCUCACAGCCCCUUCUUCAGCAGCAGGCACUGAGCUGUUAACAAGAGGUUUUACUAGCCUGCAUGUGACUCUUUUGGUGGCUCUCUGGCUGCACUGGAGGCAGAUGCCAUAGCAAAAAUAAAGGCACAUGCAAGACAAAACACAUUUAAG